rnacentral:lncRNA from 1 species
UAUUUGUUGAUAUAAGUCGUAAAACAUGAUGACCUCUGGCAUUUAUGAGAUUCGGUGUUGAAAACUGCAGACCAUGAUUAUCACCCACAGUUGCGCACAGUUUUCUGUACUGCUUUCGCUGGCAAACGCCAGUGCUCGCAUUUGAUUGGUCUAACGGCGUUUCUUUUGCGAAUCGAGAACACUCUGCAGUUUUAUUUUGGUUUCUGUGUAUUUUGUUGAUUUUUGUUGAUUAUUGUUGUUGGAUUUGGUGGUAUUAUGAUUAGGCAAGGUAUUAGGCAUUUUUCAGUCACACCAUUCCCGUGGUAUUAUGGUAAGCACUUUUGAUGUUUUAUUGUGAGAGGUUACCUGUGCCAGGCUGGGUGAUUUUGUUUCAAGUUUUUGAUCUAUGGUUUAGUUGAGAUUGAAAUCACCACAACCAGGGCAGAGUUUGUUGCAUGCUGCAUGCAUGUUCCUGUUCCUCAUACCCUUGUUCCGCAAGGCGUACAUUAUUUGUUUUAUUGAUUUGUCAUGCCUCAAUUACCAAUCCUACGAAGUAUGUAGUCUACUGCAAGUCUUUAUAAACCUAAUGCCCAGAUUCAUUUUGUGCAUCCGCUCUCUCUUUGUGCGCUUCCAUGGUGUUCUCCCUCUCGAUUUCAUCCUCUUUCUCCUCUGCGUAGGUAUCAACCCCCUGCUUCGGAUGGCCAUUGAGGUAGGUGCCUUUGGAGCUUGCAGCAAUGAGCGUUAGAAAUGAAUUACCAGAAAUAAAUGAUGCUGUGAAAAUUAAUCAACAAAAGCUGACAAGGAUUAGUUAUUAAAAUAUUAUAUCACUAAAAAGUUAUAUUUGUGUAGCGAUCUUGAAGUACAUGCCCUGCCCCUCUGGCCAAUCCUGGUCAAUCCUGCUCCGGGUUGUACAGACAACUAUCCUAUGUGGGAAGCCCGAAGCUCCCCCAGGAGUAUGGCCAUAAUAGCUGGGUGUGGUGAGUGUCACAGGACUGAUAGCCCUAUAAACACAGGUCGGGUGGGAGGGUAUUAGUAGAAUAAGCUUAGGAUGUUGGUUAAGCCCUUUCCUCAUCACCCGCCUCUGUCACCAGUUUUCUCCUCAGCCUCCAGAGCUGGUAGAGUCCAUCCUUGUUCUGCUCCAUCUCUUUUCUAUCAUCGUUGAAGAGGAAUGCUUUCAGUACCUCGUUGGGUUCUUCCACGUAUGGCCUCAGUAGAGCUAGGUUUCAUUGUCUUUCUUCUGUUAGCUUGGUACACUCUAGCAUAAAAUGGACUUCAUUUCCUUCCUCUUUUCCACAGAGCUUAAUUACCGUUAUCACCUCAUCCACCGUCUGCUCAAUGUGUGAGGAAUACGGAGACAAAGGCUGCUUGAUAAUUAAACAAGUUCUGCGUUUUCUCAGGAAGUCAGUACUUUGUUAGAUAGGUAUGUGAUGAGUUUAACGUAGACAAUUGCAGUCUUAUGUGUCGAUGAAACUAAAAGUCUUGGAAACAUGAUAAGCUUAGCAUAACAUUCUGCCAUUGCGUUCAUGUGUUUGGCUUUGUCGUUCCUAUUGUAGGUAUGCUUUGUGGAUUCUGAGUUCUGACCAUAUUAUCUUCCACCAGGUUCAUUGCUGGCAGUGGUUCAGGAGACAGUGGUUCGAUCCCAGCUGUAGAACGUCACCUGCAGGAAGUAGCAUUGUGAUGGCCAGUCACGUGGCGCGUGUAUCCAGCCACAUUGUCCAGAAACCAUCACAUCAUUUCCAGGUCACUGGUCGCUGGUGCUCGAGUUGACUGUGUCUUCAACGGCUCCACGGUGACCAGCGCCGCCACCGCCGAGACCAUCCGAUUCCUGAAAUGAUAAUGGCCGUACACGAACAAGAGGCUCUAUGCAUCCAGAUGCAAGUCAAGCGCCAUGCUCAGAGGCGUCAUCCGGAGAAGGCCGCACAGUGCACUUUAGGCUGAGCUCGGGUGUAGUGCGCGCUGACGGAUAGGAUGAAAUUACGGGCCGGCCAUCAGAUUUCAGUGCGGGGAUCAAGAUGGUCGGAGCCGACGUGGCUCGGUUGAUGGUGUGUCAGGGUUGAUUGAGAGUGGAGGCGAGACACCCGGAUCUGUGAAGGAUACGCCAAUACGGGUCUCGACGUCGUCUCGCAAUUUGUGCUAUGUAAUAUGACGGCUAUGCCGUGGUAUCAUUCACUCUCGAUGCGCUAAUAAAUAAUAAAUAGGACAGAGACUGGAA